GGGUCCGAGGCGCAUAGCCUCGGAGGCAGUGCGGGUAGUCGGGCCGCUAUCC
rnacentral:ncRNA from 2 species